rnacentral:rRNA from 2 species
AGUAGGACGCACAGUUUAUACCGUAGCUUGCUACACCAUAGACUGUGAGUUGCGAACGGGUGAGUAACGCGUAGGUAACCUGCCUAUUAGAGGGGGAUAACUAUUGGAAACGAUAGCUAAUACCGCAUAACAGUAUGUAACACAUGUUAGAUGCUUGAAAGAUGCAAUUGCAUCGCUAGUAGAUGGACCUGCGUUGUAUUAGCUAGUAGGUAGGGUAAUGGCCUACCUAGGCGACGAUACAUAGCCGACCUGAGAGGGUGAUCGGCCACACUGGGACUGAGACACGGCCCAGACUCCUACGGGAGGCAGCAGUAGGGAAUCUUCGGCAAUGGGGGGAACCCUGACCGAGCAACGCCGCGUGAGUGAAGAAGGUUUUCGGAUCGUAAAGCUCUGUUGUUAAGGAAGAACGAGUGUGAGAAUGGAAAGUUCAUACUGUGACGGUACUUAACCAGAAAGGGACGGCUAACUACGUGCCAGCAGCCGCGGUAAUACGUAGGUCCCGAGCGUUGUCCGGAUUUAUUGGGCGUAAAGCGAGCGCAGGCGGUUAGAAAAGUCUGAAGUGAAAGGCAGUGGCUCAACCAUUGUAGGCUUUGGAAACUGUUUAACUUGAGUGCAGAAGGGGAGAGUGGAAUUCCAUGUGUAGCGGUGAAAUGCGUAGAUAUAUGGAGGAACACCGGUGGCGAAAGCGGCUCUCUGGUCUGUAACUGACGCUGAGGCUCGAAAGC